ACAAAAAGGUAAUCUCGGCUUGAUUGAUGUAAACAUGCUGGGACUCCUUUUCUCUAUAUAAGGGUUGAGAGCCCCCUCGAUGGCAUCAUCAGACCAAAAACAAUCCCGCUAUUGUUCUUUCUUCACUGAGACUCUCCUCCCAAACAGCUUUCAAGAUGUCUUUCAUGCAAUACGUUGUCCUUAUGGUCUCUUUCUCUGCCAUGAUGAGCAUGGCUUUUGCUAAAAAUGUCUUCGAUGGCAUUGAAGAUGGAUUGAAUAAAGCCAUUGAUGCCACUGGCCUGUAAAGGAGUCGGAGGAACCCAAUAGCGCUAUUUGAUACAAUGUGAUCUUGAAGCAUAAAUAAAGUUUGGUUCUUGCCAA